CUGGGAUGGCAGAGACGGGCGAUCUUCAGCAGCAGGUAAGAUGCUGGGGUGGCAGAGACGGGCGAUCUUCAGCAACAGGUUAGAUGCUGGAGUGGCAGAGACGGGCGAUCUUCAGCAGCAGGUAAGAUGCUGGGGUGGCAGAGACGGGUGAUCUUCAGCAGCAGGUAAGAUGCUGGGGUGGCAGAGACGGGUGAUCUUCAGCAGCAGGUUAGAUGCUGGGGUGGCAGAGACGGGCGAUCUUCAGCAGCAGGUAAGAUGCUGGGGUGGCAGAGACGGGUGAUCUUCAGCUGCAGGUAAGAUGCUGGGGUGGCAGAGACGGGUGAUCUUCAGCUGCAGGUAAGAUGCUGGGGUGGCAGAGACGGGUGAUCUUCAGCUGCAGGUAAGAUGCUGGGGUGGCAGAGACGGGCGAUCUGGCAUACGUAUAAACACAAUGAGUCAGCAGCAGGUCGAAUGCUGGGGUGGCAGAGACGGGUGAUCUGGCAUGCGUAUAAACACCAACUAGGCAAGUGCAUGAGGUGACUGGAAACAUGACAGCUGGGAUAGGGUGGGGAUGAGGGUGGAGGGUUACGGUGC
ensembl:lncRNA